rnacentral:rRNA from 1 species
UACAGGGGGGGCAAGCGUUGUUCGGAAUUACUGGGCGUAAAGGGCCAGUAGGCGGCCAACUAAGUCCGACGUGAAAUCCCCAGGCUUAACCUGGGAACUGCGUCGGAUACUGGAUGGCUUGAAUUCGGGAGAGGGAUGCAGAAUUCCAGGUGUAGCGGUGAAAUGCGUAGAUAUCGUAAGGAAGACCAGUGGCGAAGGCGGGUCUCUGGACAGUUCCUGACGCUGAGGCACGAAGGCCAGGGGAGCAAACGGG